UACGAACUGUGCGAACGUUAUUCGGAAUCACUGGGCUUACAGGGUGCGUAGGCGGCCUUCCAAGUCAGGUGUGAAAUCCCCCGGCCCAACCGGGGAACUGCGCUUGAAACUGGUUGGCUUGAGUCAGCUAGAGGUACACGGAACUUCCGGUGGAGCGGUGAAAUGUGUUGAUAUCGGAAGGAACACCAGAGGCGAAAGCGGUGUACUGGAGCUGGUCUGACGCUGAGGCACGAAAGCCAGGGGAGCGAACGGG
rnacentral:rRNA from 1 species